GCUGGCAAAAGCAAUGGGGUCAUCAGCCUUGGAAAGAAACUCAGAAGUUCUCGUGAGAGUCGACUUCAAUGUUCCUAUGAAGAACAACCAGAUAACAAACAACCAGAGGAUUAAGGCUGCUGUCCCAAGCAUCAAAUUCUGCUUGGACAAUGGAGCCAAGUCAGUAGUCCUUAUGAGCCACCUAGGCCGGCCUGAUGGUGUCCCUAUGCCUGACAAGUACUCCUUAGAGCCAGUUGCUGUAGAACUCAAAUCUCUGCUGGGCAAGGAUGUUCUGUUCUUGAAGGACUGUGUAGGCCCAGAAGUGGAGAAAGCCUGUGCCAACCCAGCUGCUGGGUCUGUCAUCCUGCUGGAGAACCUCCGCUUUCAUGUGGAGGAAGAAGGGAAGGGAAAAGAUGCUUCUGGGAACAAGGUUAAAGCCGAGCCAGCCAAAAUAGAAGCUUUCCGAGCUUCACUUUCCAAGCUAGGGGAUGUCUACGUCAAUGAUGCUUUUGGCACUGCUCACAGAGCCCACAGCUCCAUGGUAGGAGUCAAUCUGCCACAGAAGGCUGGUGGGUUUUUGAUGAAGAAGGAGCUGAACUACUUUGCAAAGGCCUUGGAGAGCCCAGAGCGACCCUUCCUGGCCAUCCUGGGCGGAGCUAAAGUUGCAGACAAGAUCCAGCUCAUCAAUAAUAUGCUGGACAAAGUCAAUGAGAUGAUUAUUGG
rnacentral:sRNA from 1 species